AUCCAACUGUUGAGUCUUGAAUAGGACGAAACGCACUUCAUGGAU
rnacentral:hammerhead_ribozyme from 1 species